rnacentral:siRNA from 1 species
UGUGGCAUAUGACCAUCCCCAU